rnacentral:rRNA from 1 species
AGAGUUUGAUCCUGGCUCAGAUUGAACGCUGGCGGCAGGCCUAACACAUGCAAGUCGAGCGGUAGAGAGAAGCUUGCUUCUCUUGAGAGCGGCGGACGGGUGAGUAAUGCCUAGGAAUCUGCCUGGUAGUGGGGGAUAACGUUCGGAAACGGACGCUAAUACCGCAUACGUCCUACGGGAGAAAGCAGGGGACCUUCGGGCCUUGCGCUAUCAGAUGAGCCUAGGUCGGAUUAGCUAGUUGGUGGGGUAAUGGCUCACCAAGGCGACGAUCCGUAACUGGUCUGAGAGGAUGAUCAGUCACACUGGAACUGAGACACGGUCCAGACUCCUACGGGAGGCAGCAGUGGGGAAUAUUGGACAAUGGGCGAAAGCCUGAUCCAGCCAUGCCGCGUGUGUGAAGAAGGUCUUCGGAUUGUAAAGCACUUUAAGUUGGGAGGAAGGGUUGUAGAUUAAUACUCUGCAAUUUUGACGUUACCGACAGAAUAAGCACCGGCUAACUCUGUGCCAGCAGCCGCGGUAAUACAGAGGGUGCAAGCGUUAAUCGGAAUUACUGGGCGUAAAGCGCGCGUA